rnacentral:rRNA from 1 species
UACAGAGGGUGCAAGCGUUAAUCGGAAUUACUGGGCGUAAAGCGCGCGUAGGUGGUUUGUUAAGUUGGAUGUGAAAUCCCGGGGCUCAACCUCGGAACUGCAUUCGAUACUGCUUUGCUUGAGUACUGGAGAGGAGAUUGGAAUUUACGGUGUAGCAGUGAAAUGCGUAGAUAUCGUAAGGAAGACCAGUGGCGAAGGCGGAUCUCUGGACAGUUACUGACACUGAGGCACGAAGGCCAGGGGAGCAAACGGG